UAGGGAAUCUUCGGCAAUGGGGGGAACCCUGACCGAGCAACGCCGCGUGAGUGGAGAAGGUUUUCGGAUCGUAAAGCUCUGUUGUUAAGGAAGAACGAGUGUGAGAAUGGAAAGUUCAUACUGUGACGGUACUUAACCAGAAAGGGACGGCUAACUACGUGCCAGCAGCCGCGGUAAUACGUAGGUCCCGAGCGUUGUCCGGAUUUAUUGGGCGUAAAGCGAGCGCAGGCGGUUAGAAAAGUCUGAAGUGAAAGGCAGUGGCUCAACCAUUGUAGGCUUUGGAAACUGUUUAACUUGAGUGCAGAAGGGGAGAGUGGAAUUCCAUGUGUAGCGGUGAAAUGCGUAGAUAUAUGGAGGAACACCGGUGGCGAAAGCGGCUCUCUGGUCUGUCACUGACGCUGAGGCUCGAAAGCGUGGGGAGCGAACAGGAUUAGAUACCCUGGUAGUCCACGCCGUAAACGAUGAGUGCUAGGUGUUGGGUCCUUUCCGGGGCUCAGUGCCGCAGCUAACGCAUUAAGCACUCCGCCUGGGGAGUACGACCGCAAGGUU
rnacentral:rRNA from 1 species